rnacentral:rRNA from 1 species
CCGAGGAAAAGAAAUCAACCGAGAUUCCCCCAGUAGCGGCGAGCGAACGGGGAGCAGCCCAGAGCCUGAAUCAGUGUGUGUGUUAGUGGAAGCGUCUGGAAAGGCGUGCGAUACAGGGUGACAGCCCCGUACACAAAAAUGCACAUACUGUGAGCUCGAUGAGUAGGGCGGGACACGUGGUAUCCUGUCUGAAUAUGGGGGGACCAUCCUCCAAGGCUAAAUACUCCUGACUGACCGAUAGUGAACCAGUACCGUGAGGGAAAGGCGAAAAGAACCCCGGCGAGGGGAGUGAAAAAGAACCUGAAACCGUGUACGUACAAGCAGUGGGAGCACGCUUAGGCGUGUGACUGCGUACCUUUUGUAUAAUGGGUCAGCGACUUAUAUUCUGUAGCAAGGUUAACCGAAUAGGGGAGCCGAAGGGAAACCGAGUCUUAACUGGGCGUUAAGUUGCAGGGUAUAGACCCGAAACCCGGUGAUCUAGCCAUGGGCAGGUUGAAGGUUGGGUAACACUAACUGGAGGACCGAACCGACUAAUGUUGAAAAAUUAGCGGAUGACUUGUGGCUGGGGGUGAAAGGCCAAUCAAACCGGGAGAUAGCUGGUUCUCCCCGAAAGCUAUUUAGGUAGCGCCUCGUGAAUUCAUCUCCGGGGGUAGAGCACUGUUUCGGCAAGGGGGUCAUCCCGACUUACCAACCCGAUGCAAACUGCGAAUACCGGAGAAUGUUAUCACGGGAGACACACGGCGGGUGCUAACGUCCGUCGUGAAGAGGGAAACAACCCAGACCGCCAGCUAAGGUCCCAAAGUCAUGGUUAAGUGGGAAACGAUGUGGGAAGGCCCAGACAGCCAGGAUGUUGGCUUAGAAGCAGCCAUCAUUUAAAGAAAGCGUAAUAGCUCACUGGUCGAGUCGGCCUGCGCGGAAGAUGUAACGGGGCUAAACCAUGCACCGAAGCUGCGGCAGCGACGCUUAUGCGUUGUUGGGUAGGGGAGCGUUCUGUAAGCCUGUGAAGGUGUGCUGUGAGGUAUGCUGGAGGUAUCAGAAGUGCGAAUGCUGACAUAAGUAACGAUAAAGCGGGUGAAAAGCCCGCUCGCCGGAAGACCAAGGGUUCCUGUCCAACGUUAAUCGGGGCAGGGUGAGUCGACCCCUAAGGCGAGGCCGAAAGGCGUAGUCGAUGGGAAACAGGUUAAUAUUCCUGUACUUGGUGUUACUGCGAAGGGGGGACGGAGAAGGCUAUGUUGGCCGGGCGACGGUUGUCCCGGUUUAAGCGUGUAGGCUGGUUUUCCAGGCAAAUCCGGAAAAUCAAGGCCGAGGCGUGAUGACGAGGCACUACGGUGCUGAAGCAACAAAUGCCCUGCUUCCAGGAAAAGCCUCUAAGCAUCAGGUAACAUCAAAUCGUACCCCAAACCGACACAGGUGGUCAGGUAGAGAAUACCAAGGCGCUUGAGAGAACUCGGGUGAAGGAACUAGGCAAAAUGGUGCCGUAACUUCGGGAGAAGGCACGCUGAUACGUAGGUGAAGCGACUUGCUCGUGGAGCUGAAAUCAGUCGAAGAUACCAGCUGGCUGCAACUGUUUAUUAAAAACACAGCACUGUGCAAACACGAAAGUGGACGUAUACGGUGUGACGCCUGCCCGGUGCCGGAAGGUUAAUUGAUGGGGUUAGCGCAAGCGAAGCUCUUGAUCGAAGCCCCGGUAAACGGCGGCCGUAACUAUAACGGUCCUAAGGUAGCGAAAUUCCUUGUCGGGUAAGUUCCGACCUGCACGAAUGGCGUAAUGAUGGCCAGGCUGUCUCCACCCGAGACUCAGUGAAAUUGAACUCGCUGUGAAGAUGCAGUGUACCCGCGGCAAGACGGAAAGACCCCGUGAACCUUUACUAUAGCUUGACACUGAACAUUGAGCCUUGAUGUGUAGGAUAGGUGGGAGGCUUUGAAGUGUGGACGCCAGUCUGCAUGGAGCCGACCUUGAAAUACCACCCUUUAAUGUUUGAUGUUCUAACGUGGACCCGUGAUCCGGGUUGCGGACAGUGUCUGGUGGGUAGUUUGACUGGGGCGGUCUCCUCCUAAAGAGUAACGGAGGAGCACGAAGGUUGGCUAAUCCUGGUCGGACAUCAGGAGGUUAGUGCAAUGGCAUAAGCCAGCUUGACUGCGAGCGUGACGGCGCGAGCAGGUGCGAAAGCAGGUCAUAGUGAUCCGGUGGUUCUGAAUGGAAGGGCCAUCGCUCAACGGAUAAAAGGUACUCCGGGGAUAACAGGCUGAUACCGCCCAAGAGUUCAUAUCGACGGCGGUGUUUGGCACCUCGAUGUCGGCUCAUCACAUCCUGGGGCUGAAGUAGGUCCCAAGGGUAUGGCUGUUCGCCAUUUAAAGUGGUACGCGAGCUGGGUUUAGAACGUCGUGAGACAGUUCGGUCCCUAUCUGCCGUGGGCGCUGGAGAACUGAGGGGGGCUGCUCCUAGUACGAGAGGACCGGAGUGGACGCAUCACUGGUGUUCGGGUUGUCAUGCCAAUGGCACUGCCCGGUAGCUAAAUGCGGAAGAGAUAAGUGCUGAAAGCAUCUAAGCACGAAACUUGCCCCGAGAUGAGUUCUCCCUGACCCUUUAAGGGUCCUGAAGGAACGUUGAAGACGACGACGUUGAUAGGCCGGGUGUGUAAGCGCAGCGAUGCGUUGAGCUAACCGGUACUAAUGAACCGUGAGGCUUAACCUUACAACGCCGAAG